rnacentral:rRNA from 1 species
UCGGAUCAAGCGCGAGAAGGGCGUUUGGUGGAUGCCUUGGCAGCAAGAGGCGAUGAAGGACGUGAUACCCUGCGAUAAGCUCUGGGGAGCCGGGAAUAGGCUUUGAUCCAGGGAUUUCCGAAUGGGGCAACCCCCCUGACACUCCCUUGCUGUCUGCUCUUGGCAGACAGCAGGAGGGUGGCCCAGGGAUCUUGUGACUGAAUCCAUAGGUUACAAGAGGCGAACCCGGGGAACUGAAACAUCUCAGUACCCGGAGGAAAGGACAUCAACAGAGACUCCGUGAGUAGUGGCGAGCGAAAGCGGACCAGCCGAGCACCGAAGAGGGACCGGAACCGUCUGGAAAGUCGGGCCGGAGCGGGUGACAGCCCCGUACGGGAACCUCCAGGUGACGCAUCAAGUAGGGCGGGACACGUGAAAUCCUGUCUGAAGAUCGGGGGACCACCCUCGAAGGCUAAGUACUCCUUGCUGACCGAUAGCGAACCAGUACCGUGAGGGAAAGGUGAAAAGCACCCCGACGAGGGGAGUGAAACAGUUCCUGAAACCGGACGCCUACAAUCAGUCGGAGCCUCCCAUGUCCUUCGGGACGGGCGGGGUGACGGCGUACCUUUUGUAUAAUGGGUCAUCGACUUGGUCUCACGAGCGAGCUUAAGCCGGUAGGCGGAGGCGGAGCGAAAGCGAGUCUGAACAGGGCGUUCAGUUCGUGGGAUCAGACCCGAAACCGAGUGAUCUAGCCAUGGCCAGGCUGAAGGCUGGGUAACACCAGCUGGAGGGCCGAACCCACACCUGUUGAAAAAGGUCGGGAUGAGCUGUGGCUAGGGGUGAAAGGCUAAUCAAACUCGGAGAUAGCUGGUUCUCUGCGAAAGCUAUUUAGGUAGCGCGUCAGGUGAAUGCCCGCGGGGGUAGAGCACUGGAUGGGUGAUGGGGGCCCACAGCCUUACUGAGCCUAACCAAACUCCGAAUACCGUGGAGCACUGCCUGGCAGACAGACGGCGGGUGCUAACGUCCGUCGUCGAGAGGGAAACAACCCUGACCUCCAGCUAAGGCCCCCAAGUCACGGCUAAGUGGGAAAGCAGGUGGGACGACCAAAACAACCAGGAGGUUGGCUUAGAAGCAGCCAUCCUUUAAAGAUAGCGUAACAGCUCACUGGUCUAGACAAGUUGUCCUGCGGCGAAGAUGUAACGGGGCUCAAGCCGUGCGCCGAAGCUGAGGGUGCAUCGCAAGAUGCGCGGUAGCAGAGCGUGGUGUGACAUCGUCUUUGUCCUUUUGUGCGGGUUUGGUCCCGUGCCGGAGGGUCGAGGCGUUCUGUGAAGCCCGGGCGUGAGCCAUCGGGUGGAGAGAUCACCAGCGAGAAUGAUGACAUGAGUAGCGACAAAGGGGGUGAGAGACCCCCUCGCCGAAAGCCCAAGGGUUCCUGCUUAAAGCUAAUCUGAGCAGGGUGAGCCGACCCCUAAGGCGAGGCCGAGAGGCGUAGCCGAUGGGAAUCCGGUGAAUAAUCCGGAGCCAGGAGGAUGUGACGGAUCGCGGGUGUUGUUGUCCCUUAUCGGAUUGGGGCGGCGGCUGAGCGGUUCCUGGAAAUAGCCCUCCAUCAGAUCGUACCCGAAACCGACACAGGUGGGCUGGUAGAGCAUACCAAGGCGCUUGAGAGAACGACGUCGAAGGAACUCGGCAAAAUGCCUCCGUAAGUUCGCGAGAAGGAGGCCCCGUUCCUGGGCAACCAGGGGCGGGGGGCACAGAAAUGGGGGUGGCGACUGUUUACUAAAAACACAGGGCUGUGCGAAGCCGCAAGGCGACGUAUACAGUCUGACGCCUGCCCGGUGCCGGAAGGUUAAAAGGAGGGGUGCAAGCUCCGAAUUGAAGCCCCGGUAAACGGCGGCCGUAACUAUAACGGUCCUAAGGUAGCGAAAUUCCUUGUCGGGUAAGUUCCGACCUGCACGAAUGGCGUAACGACUUCCCCGCUGUCUCCGACGUCGGCUCAGCGAAAUUGAACUGCCCGUGAAGAUGCGGGCUCCCCGCGGUUAGACGGAAAGACCCCAUGAACCUUUACUCUAGCUUCGCACUGGCACCAGGACUGCGAUGUGCAGGAUAGGCGGUAGGCUUUGAAGCGGGGGCGCCAGCCCUCGUGGAGCCGUCCUUGAGAUACCGCCCUUCGUCGUCUUGGUGUCUAACCGCGGCCCGUGAUCCGGGUCCGGGACCCUGCGUGGUGGGGAGUUUGACUGGGGCGGUCGCCUCCCAAACAGUAACGGAGGCGCGCGAUGGUGGGCUCAGGGCGGUCGGAAAUCGCCCGUUGAGUGCAAUGGCAGAAGCCCGCCUGACUGCGAGACUGACGCGUCGAGCAGAGUCGAAAGACGGCCAUAGUGAUCCGGUGGUCCCGCGUGGAAGGGCCAUCGCUCAACGAAUAAAAGGUACUCUGGGGAUAACAGGCUGAUACUGCCCAAGAGUCCAUAUCGACGGCAGUGUUUGGCACCUCGAUGUCGGCUCAUCUCAUCCUGGGGCUGGAGCAGGUCCCAAGGGUAUGGCUGUUCGCCAUUUAAAGAGGUACGUGAGCUGGGUUUAGAACGUCGUGAGACAGUUCGGUCCCUAUCUUCCGUGGGUGCAGGAGACUUGAGAGGAGUUGCCCCUAGUACGAGAGGACCGGGGUGAACGCACCACUGGUGGACCGGUUGUGGCGCCAGCCGCAGCGCCGGGUGGCUAUGUGCGGACGGGAUAACCGCUGAAGGCAUCUAAGCGGGAAGCCCCCCUCGAAACCAGGUCUCCCUAUCAGGACCGUGGCAGACCACCACGUCGAUAGGCCGGAGAUGCAAGCGCGGCAACGCGUUCAGUUGACCGGUACUAAUCGUCCGAUUGGCUUGAUCCGACCCGG